UACGUAGGUGACAAGCGUUGUCCGGAUUUACUGGGCGUAAAGAGCGCGCAGGCGGUCGUUCAAGUCGAGUGUGAAAGCCCCCCGGCUCAACUGGGGAGGGUCACUCGAUACUGAUCGACUCGAAGGCAGGAGAGGGUAGUGGAAUUCCCGGUGUAGUGGUGAAAUGCGUAGAUAUCGGGAGGAACACCAGUGGCGAAGGCGACUACCUGGCCUGUUCUUGACGCUGAGGCGCGAAAGCUAGGGGAGCAACGGGG
rnacentral:rRNA from 1 species